CUCUCUCUCUCUCUCUCUCUCUCUCUCUCUCUCUCUCUCUCUCUCAACUAUGACCUUCCUUUGUGGUCUUUUAUCUCUCUUCCGCUCUUCCUCUUCCUCGUCCUCCUCGUCCUUUCUCUCUCUUCUCUCCACGUUCUUCCUCUUCCUUCAUUUGACCUCACAUGACUUGACUGACUGACACACCUGCCGUACAACCACGUGACCCCCUAAUUAAGAACAACCUACCUGAGCACGAUACAAACUUAAUACCUGUAGAUUACCUGUACAGAACACGUAUCACUUAAGGUUUGCUACACUAACGAAAAAGAAGAAGUAGUUGUUGUUUUUUAGCGUAAGGAUUAAGUUAUUGAAGGGAGUAGUUUUAUAUAUGUUAAUGUUUUAGUGUAAGGGAAAUAAUAAUGAUCUGUUUAAUUCGUGUUGGAUUUGAAGGCAUUUAGCUUUGAUUUGGUAUUUGAAAGUAAUGGAUUUUUGAGAUUAUUUCUGUUAUUGUUACUAUUAUCAUUAGUAGUAAGCUGUAGUAGUAGUAGUAAUUUGAGGGUUAUUAUUAUUAUUAUUAUUAUUAUUAUUAUUAUUAUUAUUAUUAUUAUUAUUAUUAUUAUUAUUAUUAUUAUUAUUAUUAUUAUUAUUAUUAUUAUUACCAUUACUGUAUUACCCGUGUCUAUGUACGCAUGUAGUUAGUUUGUAAAUACGUACAUGUUGUGUAGACUUAACCAUGUGUACAUACGAGGGUGUGACUGUUUUUACUGUUUGCUAUUAUUAUUAUUAUUAUUAUUAUUAUUAUUAUUAUUAUUAUUAUUAUUAUUAUUAUUAUUAUUAUUAUUAUUAUUAUUAUUUGCUAGUAACUAAUAUAAUCUCAGGUGAAUUGCCUCAUAAUUAGUGCCAACCGUAAUAGUAAUAAUAAAAAUAAUAAUAAUAAUAAUAAUAAUGUUUGGCAAGGGCGAUUUUCAGUUAUCAUUAUAUUGUAGUUUAUCAUAAUUAUCCUUAUUAUUAACUAGUACAAGAUUUCCAAGCGAUGGCAACACUGGAAAGAAAACGGGAUGAGGAGCAGGAGGAGAACUGACUGAAUUACAACUAACCUUCACCCAUUUUCUUUUCCUGGUUGGCGAUGAAAGAAAACGAUUUGCUGUUGUUUGUUUUAAGGGAGACUUCGGUGGUGUGGUUGACUGCUGUGUGACUUAUUAUAUACUGGUGCUGAUGUUCUCUGUCUGUCUGUAUAUAAGUUUGUUUGUAUGUCUGUUUCUGUCUGUCAUUUUAAAGGCAUAUCCGGUCUCUCUGUCUACCUUUCUGUCUGUUUUUUUCUGUCUAUCUGUCUGUCUGUCUCAUUGUCCGUUUUCCUUUUCGCCUGUAUGUCUAUUUUUCUGUUUGUCUGUCUGUCUCUAUUUCAUUCUGUCUUCUUUCUUUUUGUUUGUAUCUUUCUAUCUAUCUCUCUUCCUGUCUGUCUGUCUGUCUGUCUGUCUGUCUAAUUCUGUAUUCUUUCAUUUGGUUUCUAUGUCUAUCUAUAUUUCUGUCUGUCUAUUUGUAUGUUGGCCUUUCUGUCUAGUUAUAAUAUCCCGUCUUUGUUCCUCUCUCUGUGUUUGUCUGUCUGUUAAUUAAGGCUAAGUCGUAAUGGGUAAGUUUAAGCCAUUUGACCUGAUAUGUUUAAUUAACCUUUUGAGUGUUUGCAAUUAAGGAUCAUUAUUACCUGUACAUAAUUAGGAGAGUAAGGAAGAAGAAGAAGAAAAAGAAGAAGAUGAAGAAGAAGAAGUGUAUUGUUGUAGGAUACAGUUAUGAUGAAGGUGUAGAUGUGGGGAAGUUUACUGAAGUGUAGAAUAAGAAAUGUGAAGUUACUAUUGCAGUGGAGUCGUCGGGAAGCUUAUUGAAGUGCAGAAUAAGAAAUAGAAAGUUAUGGUGGAGUACAGACGUGGGGAUGUGCUUUGAAGUGUAGCUCUCUAGGUAUAUUUUGAAGUGCAGAGAUGUUGCUAAGUUAAAAAAGAGUAUCUAGUGGAGUUAUUCUGAAGUGUUAUGUUAGUCGAGCCACUGGGAUUAGAUUCUCUCUCAGACUGACAAGGUUGAAAGCAAUAGCCGUUUCGCAAUCAUAGGCUUCUGGUGUUGUUUUUCAUGUUUUUUUUUUUUUUUCGGUCAGAUCCAUUUCCAUAUUCUAUUUUUUUAUUAUUACUUUUCCGUCUUUUUUUUUUCUUCACGCUUUAAUUUUUUUCUAUUUCCAUCUAUAUUUUUUCCUCGGUCUUUUCAUCUUAUUGCUUUCCUCUCUUUUCCUUCCCUCAAUUCCUCAUCUUUUUCCAUAUAUAUACUUUUCUUAUCGUUACUUUUCUCUUCGUCUUUUUUUCCUUCAUAGUUUCAUAUUUUCACAUACUUUUUUCUCUUUUUUUUUUUCAUUCCACACACUUCCACACCCACCCACUCACACUGCCUCUGUCUGUUUGUCUCUCUCUGUCUGUCUCACACACACACACACACACACACACACACACACUCAUCUUCCUCCAACACCUCUUCUCUUUAUACUUCUUCAGCCACUCUCAUGAUGACCUACAAAUGUAAUGAUAUGCCUCUUGAAGCCUUAUAUUAACACGUCAAAGUGGUUCUUGGAAAGCUUGAGUGAGUAGGGGAUUAUGGAAGCCUGGUAUUGUUGGAACUGUUGUUAAGGGAUUGGCCGAGGAAGGGAGGGAGGGAAGGAAGGAAGGAAGGAAAGGGAAUAUGGAAGAAAGGGAGGAAGGGAAGGAAGGAAGGGAAGAAAGGAAGGGAAGGGAAUAAGGAAGGAAGGAAGGAAGGGAGGAAGAGAAGGAAGGAAAGGAAGGGAAUAAGGAAGGAAGGAAGGGAGAAUGGACAGGAUGGGAGGAAAGGUGGAAGGAAGGAAGGGAGAGCUUGUGAUGUGAGUGUUUUGUUUGUCUUUGUUAAUUUGUAAGUUUGUUUUGAUUUUUGUUUGUUUUGUUUAGAUUUUGAUGUGAGUUUUUAGUUUUUUUUUCAUAUUUUUUUUACUGGACGGAUUUUUAUUCAUUUUCGUUUUCAAUUUCCUUUUUUUCUUGUGUAUUUUGGUAGUUUUUUUCUUUUUCAGUUUUGUCUUAUUUUUUUGCCUUUUUUCUUUCCCUUUCUCUUGUUUUGGUUUUCUUUUCAUUUCUUUUUUCUGUUUUUUCCGUAAAUUGUUCCUUCUCUUUUCCUGUUCAUCUUUUUUCAAUCAGUUAAUUCAUUUAUUUUUCUUUAUUUUUCUUAUUCCUACUUUACACAUUUUCCAACUUUUCAAUCUAUAUUUUUUCCACAAUUCAACUUUUUCUUUUCUUAAUUUUUCUCGAACAUUUUUUUUUUCGUUUUUUUCUGUUCAUCUUUUUCAAUCCGUUUAUCUCUCCUUUCCUUCUUUCUUUAUUCUCUCCAAACUUUUUUUCUUACUUUUCAGUCUCUAUGUUUUAUUUUGCACAGUUCAACAUUUUUUCUUAAUAUUCUCUCUAAUUUCAUUUUUUUAAGCAAAUUUUACCUUCUUCUUCUUCUUCUUCUUCUUCUUCUUCUUCUUCUUCUUUUCUUCUCCUUCUCCUCCUCCGUCUUUCUUAACUUUUUUUCUUACUUUUCAAACUCAUCAAUUUUUUUCAUUCAAUUUUUCAAUCAUUUUUUUCCACAGUUCAACAUUUUCUCUUCUUAAUAUUUUCUCUAAGUUCAUUUUUUAAGCAAAUUUCACCUUUUUUCUUCUUCUCCUCCUCCUCCUCCUUCAUUACCAUUCUCUUAAACACCCCACUGCAAGAACUUAUAGAAAACGGAAUGUAACUUCAGAUAUCGCAUAAGUUUAAGAAUGUUAUUUAAGUCAUUUUUCUACACUAAGAGGACUAACGAAGGUAAUAAAAUGGUAUCGAAGGGUUUAGUUAUAAGUGACUAGAAGAAGAUUUAUGUCGUAAACUCAUGCUUUUGUAAAUUUUAUCCCAAUUUUCCCCGAUGUUUUCCCAAUUUUCCGACUAUCCCAUUUUUUGUUUUUUUUACUUUCCCUCUUUCCCCAUUUCUUCCCAGUAUGUUUUCCCAAUUUUCCGACUUUUUUCCCAUUUUCUUUUGUUUUUUUUACUUUCCCUCUUUCCCCAUUUCUUCCCAGUAUGUUUUUUCCAAUUUUCCGACUUUUUCCCAUUUUCGUUUGUUUUUUUUACUUUCCCCCUUUCCCCAUUUCUUCCCACUAUUUAUCUUGCUCCUCCAUUUUCUUUUUCCUAUUUUUUCCAGUUUUCCUCACUAGGCCCUACUUUUUUCCCCAUUUUCCUCCAUAUAUUUCCCAAUUUUCCCUAUUUUCCCAUUUCUUCCCACUAUCCAACUCCCCAUUUUCUUUUCCAUGAUUUUAUUUCCCAAUUUUUACCUCAAUAUCCCACACAUUUUUUUCACAUUUGCCUCCAUUUAUUUCCCAGUUUUACCUCUUCUCCUGAUCUUUUUUCCAAUUUUUCCUUCCAAUUUCUUCCCAGUUUUCUUCAUUUAUAUCUCCAGUUCUUCCCAUUUCUCCAAUGUAUCCCUUAAUUUCCAAGUUUUCCUUCAAUUUUACCCAAUUCCCAUCAAUAUCUUCCCUUAUUUCCCCACUUCUGUCCCUCUUCCCAUUUUCUCCAAUAAGUCCAGCAAUUUUACUUACGUUUAUCCCCUAUUCCCAUUUUCUACACUAUUUCGCAAGUUCCCCCAAAUUUCCCUAGUCCCAUUUUCUUCAGUCCCCCGUUUUCGUUACGUUCCCGUCACGGAUGAGGAAGCAUGUACUGAACAGUAUUACUAAUCAGUAUGUAUUAUGUUAUCAAAGAAAAAAAAAGGUAAAAAAUAUGAAGAAUUA